rnacentral:rRNA from 1 species
AACGUAGGGUGCAAGCGUUGUCCGGAAUUACUGGGUGUAAAGGGAGCGCAGGCGGAGUGGCAAGUUGGGAGUGAAACGUGCGGGCUCAACCCGCAACCUGCUUUCAAAACUGCCAGUCUUGAGUGGUGUAGAGGUAGGCGGAAUUCCCGGUGUAGCGGUGGAAUGCGUAGAUAUCGGGAGGAACACCAGUGGCGAAGGCGGCCUACUGGGCACUAACUGACGCUGAGGCUCGAAAGCAUGGGUAGCAAACAGG